rnacentral:rRNA from 1 species
AGACCGAUAGCGAACAAGUACCGUGAGGGAAAGAUGAAAAGCACUUUGGAAAGAGAGUUAAACAGUACGUGAAAUUGCUGAAAGGGAAACGAUUGAAGUCAGUCGCGUCGUCUAGAACUCAACCUUGCCUUGGCUCGGUGCAUUUUCUAGUUGACGGGCCAGCAUCAGUUUUGACCGUCGGAAAAAGGUCCUCGGAAUGUGGCACCUUCGGGUGUGUUAUAGCCUUGGGUCGUAUACGACGGUUGGGACUGAGGACCGCAGCACGCCUUUAUGGCCGGGGUUCGCCCACGUACGUGCUUAGGAUGCUGGCGUAAUGGCUUUAAACGACCCGUCUUGAAACACGGACCAAG